ensembl:ncRNA lncRNA:CR46336 long non-coding RNA:CR46336
AUUACCACAUCACGUCACAUCGUCGGAAAGGAUAUGAAAUAUGUGCUGAAAAAAAAAGAAGCGUAGAGGAGAAAAUGCCAUGAAAUUGAGUUAAUUAAAAGGGAAUCCACUGUGCACCGCCCACACACAUUCUCACAGCCACACUUACACACACGAACACACAUACACAUGGGCAGGCAAACGGCAUGAAAAUGCGGUAAAAAAGCAAGAAGCAGAGUGCGCAGCAGAGAGAUGAAUAUAAAAUAUUUGGUUAAUAAUGCACACACAGAGGCAUGUCGUUGCAAUUCGUGCAUAUGUAUUGCUGGCGAUAUGCACACACACACACAGGCACGCACAUACAUAUGCAGUUCAUAACGGCAAAUGGACGGGGCAUUGUUGAAAUUGUUGAAAUUUGGUGGAAAAAUAUGCUAUGCUCUCUGCUACGGGCGCUUUAAAAUGCAUUCAAGUGCAAGUGCCGCAAAUGCAGUUCACUUCGCUGAAUCGAUAGAGAGCGAGGUGGGUGGCGAUUCAGCCCCCACAUGUCCCCCCACGCCCACACUUUCGUGCACAUUCACCUAACUACUCCCAUGAACAAUUGCAACAUUUUGGCAAAAGUCAAGGAAGUCGGCCCUCCCGCUCGCACCUUCGCCUCGCGCGCCACUCCGCCGCCUGCGUCCGAGCGAGACAACUGUAGUGUACUUCAGACCUGGCGUGAUGUAUAAUUCGCACAAGGCACAAACAAUUCAUUUCAGGCAUGAGAGAGAGCGAGCUCAAGUCUCCGCCCAAUAAUGCAAAGAGGUUGAACCCCUUGCUCUCAGGAAACCGGUUUAUUUCCACAGUGUACACUGUGCGUGUGUGCGUUUAUGCCUGUGUGCGCUAGUUUGUGUGAGAGUGAGCAGCACAGUGGCUGCGGCAGACAUCUUUUGCCAAGGGUUGGACUUUUGCCGCAGGACUCGCAGCUGACCUUAAGCUUGCCUCCCCUUCCCCCCUCCACCAUCAAGCAAACACACACACACACGCACCCUGCCAAAAAUAUGUGCGUGUACUGCCUGCCGUAAAGGGGCGUAAUUAAAACCGAAGGGGGAGUGGAGUGGGGGUGUAAUGUCGGUGGGGCAUGUAACCGCCAGGUCGCUCCUAAAUACUUUCACCAACUAUGCCAUGUUGUCAUAAUUCUUCAUCCACCUAUAAGGCACACACCCGAAAAACCACACAUAGAAAUAAAAUAAAAAAUGUAGGAUGGGGAGGGGGAUGUCAAUGGGGGGCCAGCACCAAAAGGAAAAAGAGAGUAACGAAAAGUGCACGAAAUAUGCGCCCUGUUAUUGCUAAUACGCAUUCCAGCUGCAGUUUUCGGCUCAGCCCAGUGGACUCACAAUGGAGUGGAAUGCCACUGUCGUCGCUGCCGGCAUGUCAAAGUGAAUAACUCAAUAGCCAUAUUGGGUGUCCACCUGUGCGAGAGCGGGAGAGGGAGAGGCAGAGAGCGGGCGAGUGGCAGCUUCAUCCAUCAGCAGGGGGGCCAGGGGCAGGAUUGGGGUCGCAGAAGGGGCGAGCACUUGCAAUUCCACGUAAAUCCACUCGAUGAGAGCACUUACAUGAGCUUGCGUUUGUCACAAACACACUCACACACACUUGGCAGCUCGCACACACUCACAGAAAUGGCCGUUAAAAUUCUUGACAACCCGAUAUGGUAAUGA